GCCAAUGGGCGGGCUGUGGUGGGGAGACCUUCGGGUCUGCCGGUUUGGUGUUGCGCCGGUCCGCGAACCCUGUCAUGUGCCCGCUCACCACC
rnacentral:antisense_RNA from 1 species